GAUGAACGCUGGCGGCGUGCCUAAUACAUGCAAGUCGAGCGAACAGAUGAGGAGCUUGCUCCUCUGACGUUAGCGGCGGACGGGUGAGUAACACGUGGAUAACCUACCUAUAAGACUGGGAUAACUUCGGGAAACCGGAGCUAAUACCGGAUAAUAUAUUGAACCGCAUGGUUCAAUAGUGAAAGACGGUUUUGCUGUCACUUAUAGAUGGAUCCGCGCCGCAUUAGCUAGUUGGUAAGGUAACGGCUUACCAAGUAACGAUGCGUAGCCGACCUGAGAGGGUGAUCGGCCACACUGGAACUGAGACACGGUCCAGACUCCUACGGGAGGCAGCAGUAGGGAAUCUUCCGCAAUGGGCGAAAGCCUGACGGAGCAACGCCGCGUGAGUGAUGAAGGUCUUCGGAUCGUAAAACUCUGUUAUUAGGGAAGAACAAAUGUGUAAGUAACUAUGCACGUCUUGACGGUACCUAAUCAGAAAGCCACGGCUAACUACGUG
rnacentral:rRNA from 1 species